ACGAACGCUGGCGGCGUGGCCUAACACAUAGCAAGCCGAACGGAGAUAAUUCGCUGAUGAAGUAACUUCGGUAAUGAUUCUUGAAUAUCUUAGUGGCGGACGGGUGAGUAACGCGUGAGCAACCUGCCUUUCAGAGGGGGAUAACGUUCGGAAACGAACGCUAAUACCGCAUGACAUUGUUGAGUCGCAUGACAUGACAAUCAAAGGAGCAAUCCGCUGAAAGAUGGGGCUCGCGUCCGAUUAGGUAGUUGGUGGGGCAACGGCCCACCAAGCCGACGAUCGGUAGCCGGACUGAGAGGUUGAACGGCCACAUUGGGACUGGGACACGGCCCAGACUCCUACGGGAGGCAGCAGUGAGGGAUAUUGGUCAAUGGGGGAAACCCUGAACCAGCAACGCCGCGUGAGGGAAGACGGUUUUCGGAUUGUAAACCUCUGUCCUCUGUGAAGAUAAUGACGGUAGCAGAGGAGGAAGCUCCGGCUAACUACGUG
rnacentral:rRNA from 1 species